GCUGGAUGUGGUGGCACAUGCCUGUAAUUUCAGCUACUCGGGAGGCUGAGACAGGAGAAUUACUUGAGCCCAGGAGUUUUGAGGCUGCAGUGAGCUAUGAUCGUGCCACUGCUCUCCAGCCUGGGCAACAGAGUGAGACCCUGUCUUUA
rnacentral:sRNA from 1 species